UCUUUUUUUCUUUUUUCAUGCUAUGAAGGACAGUGAUCUUAGAGCAGCAGAGUGCCUCAGCCAUCUAAGACUUAGACCACUAAGUUUCUUCCUUCUAGCUCUUAUUUAUAAGUUUUGUGUUAUAUGAUAUUUGUCUUCCUGAAAAGCUGAGUGAAAAUUUGUGUAAAUCAAAUAAUAUUUCAAAUGUAUCAAGAGGCCUUGUGAUAAAGGAACCUUGAAAUUGUUUUCUAAUCUGAAAUAUUACCCACUAAUUUAUCUUGUUGAAAUUGAUCUCCAUAUAUCUUGUUAUUUUAAUGCAGCACACUUUCAUCACGUGGUUUAAAGGUUCUGCAAGACAGUCUUUGCCUCAGACUGUAUGAAAUGAUAGCCUGAAUCCAGGUUUUGAGUCAGUCAAUAUGAGCAAUCAGUUUCCGUCAUUUCCACUUACUGACUUUACCUGGAUUAAUGUGGAAAAUAGUAAUAAGACAACAUGGAUGGAUAAAGUUGACAAAUGAUUUUUUUAUUUGUUUAAACAUUUUCCACCUAUUUUAUCCUCAAAGUUACUAUUAAGAGGUCAAGAUGACUCCAAAUCUCUUGUGUCAAUACUAGAUUUACUGAAUCAGAAUUGCCGGGAUGGAUUCCAAAAUAUGCAUUGCUAACACAUUAGUGAAGUGAUACUAAUGCAUCCUAAGUUUUGAAAAAUAUUGCUCAAAUGAAUUUACUUUUCCAAAGCCAUUCAAUUGCAUUAUAUUCUAAUCUAAAAUUAUGAAUUCUUGUGCUUUCCAAUAUCAAUGUGAAUCUAGUUUUCUAAGCCUGACUGAACAUUUUUCUUGACUGAGGAAAGCAUAGCAAAAGACAACUAUACAUAAAAUGCUCAGGUUGCUUCCUGACAGACUGUUGUUUAUAGAUUUUAUUCCCCAUUAACUCUUUCGAGAAGCAUAUCUGAAAACAGUCUUAAGGCAGCUGGGUUAGUUAUUUGUUAGUUGCACCCAUGAAUAUAACAGCUGAAAAGCUGGGGGUGGGGAGAGAGGCAGGAAUUUAUGAUGUAUCAGGCACUACGUCCUCCUUGUCUCAUUCUUAAAACAUUUUAGGAAAGAAGUAUAACCACUAUUUUAAAGAAAGGGAAAUAAGGCUCAUGCUAAUUAAAUAACUUGCCAAGUCUCAGACAGUGGAGUUGAAGAUUCAAAUCUAGAUUUGUUCAACUCUAAGGAUGUGUUCCUAUCCCCCCACAGCAGAUUUUCAAAAGUGAGAAGAGAUCAUAAUCAAUAUAAUGAGGCUUCUAUAUUUUAAUGAAGGGGGGUGUUGAACACAGCAGAAAAAGAGUUUGCCUUUCUAUUUCCAAACAGAAAAAUUAUCUUACACUGUGUAGAGAUUUCCUCCAGAAUCCUAAACCAGCAGCAGCCUAAUGGAAAAAAACACCCAAUAUUUUGUUAAAGUUUUAUACAUGGUUUCAUAAAAAAAAGUAAACAGUUGAAGGAAAAAUCAUUCAAAACAUAAAUACCCCUAAAUAUUUAUGUUGUAUUUUCAUUUGCAAUCAUCUUAGCUCUUUUAUAAAUUUAUAGCCAAAAUAUGAUAAGGAAAUAUCAAUAAUAUAACCUUCAACUGGCCAAAAAAAGAGGUGAGGUUGCCAAUUUUAGCAAAAACUAUGUGGUUGAAUGGUCAAUAAAGUUACCAAGUGCAAAUGACAAGGUGGAGGAAAACACCAAUAAUCUACAGUCACAAAUUGUCAACUGGCAAUGACAUGGCUUGGGCUGCAGAGUAUUUCCUGUGAAUGAUUUUAAAUGGCAAUAUGCUUUAGAGGAGUAUUAUUUACACAGAUGAUAUGGGAUCUGGAAGCAUACUACAUCAAAGGAGGCUGAGAGAUAACCUUUAUAACAAGGCAGGCUCUACUUGUCCUACUCAGAAUGUAAUACAUGUUUAAAUAUAAAAUAAACGUCAUUUCCUUUUUUCAUUACUUGGAGAUGGAAAAAUAAAAUUAUUUUUUGAAACUUAUUUUUAAACUCACAUAUUGGAAAACAUCUUCCUCAGUCUCAGCUAUUCACAAGGAUUCUUAAAUAGUCUCUCGAUUCCUUUAGUGUCUCAGGAGCUUUUUAUUAAAUGACUGAGUUAUCGCUUCUAUCUCUCCCUGAAUGCUACAAGUAAUCCCAUUGGUUAAUCAUAUUAGCAUUUUACUCCAUCACAGGAUCUGAACAUGUAGCAUCCAUGAAAAACAAACUUUUAUAAUACAUACAGCAUUCAGGAGCCAGUGAAGCACUCUGUAAAUCAUGCCUCCUACUAAAAAUGAUCAUGUCUAUAACUGUGAUUAAAACUAGGCUAUAAAUUUAAAACAAUAAAUCCAGCAAAGAAAGAAAUUCUAGCACCCUAGAUCUAAUAUCAUUGUGUCUUCUCAUUCUGGCACCAUUACCACCAUACAGAAAUGUUAUCUGAAAUAUCUAGAAUAAUUCUUACUGGGAACAACAAAGAUGCUCCUGGUUUCUGGGUUGAAGACGUGGUGAAAGAAAACUAAGAAGACAAAAGUUACACAUAACAAGAUCCAUAAAUAUAAUGUCCUAAACAGUCUGAUGAAAAUGUGGUAAAAGAUUGGACCCUGCUGUUUUUCUGUUCUACCAUAAGGCAAUUAUCGGAGUAGAAUGGCCACCACAGUGGGGAGCUGGAAAUAUGAUUUUUAAAGUCCUCUCUAGAGGCCUUAUUUUAUAUUCAUUUAUAAAAUAAGAAAAUUAUUGCCUUGAGGCAAAAGCCUGCAAGCCCCAUACAAGCUCCGGUCUGACUUUACUUACACGGGAGAGGUCUAGGGAAAGGCAGUGAACAUCUCCACAUGCUAUACAGAGAAAAUCUUGAGAUCCUUGUGAUGUCAACAUUUUUUCACCUUUGGAUUUGAUGGAAGCUUAAGUUCAGUGUACUGGACAUCCUUCAAACCUUCUCUGCCAGUUUCCUCUUUAACAAACUUCAAACCUGAGUUUCUUGAGCCAAAGUUGGCUUUUACACACAGCUAUUUAACAAUGAACCCUCGUUAUACUUCAUCAUUUUGCUGAAGAAUUACAUAAUUAUGGUUGUAGCCCUUAUCGACUUUUCCCUUGCCUUUGGUUCCAGGUACGGGAUAAAACGUGUGAACUUGAUAUGGAACAUGGUACCACAGGGGGAUUGGAAGAUGAGCCUUCUAACAGAUAAACAUUUUAUGCAAUAUAAAAUAGAAAUGUAGUUUGGGGGCACUUGUUUUUAACUUAACAAUCUGAUACAGUUUUAAGAUAACGACAUGCUUUUCUGCUACUGAGAAUACAAACAUUAUUGUCUAUAAUGAA